CUCCGGUCCGAGGGAUGGCCCAGGAGCAAGGCACAAGGCCUGGUGUUGCUGCGCAAAAUCCACACACGUUCCUGCUGUGCCAGCGUUGAAUGGAGCUGCGAGUUGGAAUGCCAUCCAUCUUGAAGUCAGUGUCGUCCCCUGGUGGCGAUAGAGGUUCGUUUCUCAGCCGGUGUUGAAAUAAGACGGUGAGCGGAGAAGUGAGCAUGUGGAGAACACAGUGUAGUAAAGCAGGAAGACUUUGAAGUCAUUUGCCAGAGCAAUUCGGUUCGGCUAUCGAUUCCGCAGAGUGAACCGUGUCGCCGGUAGAAGAAUUAAGACGUUGAAUAUCGGUAGCUUCAAGCUACAGCGUCGAGCGUGACUGUUAUCGUUGGGUGGUGACAUCACGUGGUGACGGAUUACAGUGUCGCCCAGACGACACCUCAAGGAAGUGACAGGACUUCUGGCCACUGUUCAACCACAAUACGCAGCCCCGCCCAAAUCCCAGACCCCCAAACAACAUCUUUAGGUCUUUAUUGUCCCUCUCCCGGCCUCCUCCCCUCGCACGGAACAAAGAGAAAUCCCAUUUUCUCCAUAAAUAAUUCACAAGAAGACAUUUUUACAGAAUGAUUUGCGUUUUUAUUCCACAUGCAGGAUUGACUACUGGUGUGUGCGUGGUGUGUGUGGAGAGCAGAGUUCAGGGUCGGAGGACAGCUGACUGCCGGCAGCUUCUGACUGGACCCGGGCCGGGAGGUCUUCCUCUUUCCUCACAUACUCAGGAAGACGCUCAAUGAAGAGGAAGUCUUCGUCAUCAGUCCAGGGUCGAGUGGACUGUCCUGUUGCCAAGGCGACUCGUGGACUGUAAUCGGGACUGCUGAGGCAGGGGGAUCAGGAGAAUCGACCACCAUGAGUCUGGCUCCUCUAGGCUGUCUGUAGUUCUAGAGCAUAGAUGCCGAUUAGAGGUCAAAGGUUAUCACAGCAGGGCAACAUGAGCGUUUGUUCUGGAACCACACCCUGACGACCCGGGGGCUGAGACCCGUGUGCUGGGCGAGCCGAAGCUUCAGCGCCGCGUCAGGACGAGGCAUCCGCGAGUAACAGGAGCGCAGCGCCCCCAGCUGGCCGUCACUGAGGACGCUCCGCACUCGCACCCUACGCCCUAAUCAGAAUAAGAAUAAGAAUGACAAUAACAAGAAUAAUAAGAAUCAUCAUCAUAAUAAGAAUAAGAAUAAUGAUUAUUAAAACAUUAUAAUGCUUUCAUUUAGAAGGUUAUUUUAUCCCAAACAACAUCAAAGGGCCUCUAUAGAGACAAUCUAACAUGUUCUUAUGGGACAGCUGCGUAUUUGUACAAAUCAAUAAAUCUUGUUGAACGCCAAACUAUUUAACUGUAAGUAGCUCCGUCACGGAGUGAGCCGUACUCACCACAGUACAGACGCCCUGCGUGCCAGGGCUGGUCCGAGCCCACCAACGACUCCCCUGGCUCUCUGAUGGGCUCCCCACAGCCUAGACAGGGCCACACUGCCCCCUGUGGACCAGUCCCUGCAUGGCAG